AAAAUAGGCAGACACUCUUUAUUGUCAGUUCUGUCUACUUGACUGAUUCUCACAGAAAGUUUUGGUUCCUUUUUGCCAAAGGCUUGUAUCUGAAUCGAUUCAAUGCUUGUAACUCAACCAUGAUGUGACUAGUGAAAUUACACACCGAUUUUUGCUAACAAAUUUAUUGUCCUUAAAUCUGAUACGUGAUCUGUUAGACUACUUCUAACCCUCGUAUAAACUCAUUAAACUGCAAUCUUUUUGUUUCAGCACUAAGCACAACACAUUUUAAAGUUUAAUCUACAUUAUUAACAUUUUCCCCAUCACUUUCUUAAGUCUAGAGACAAUCGGCAAAACAAAUCGAUCUCUGAUUCAUAAUGUUGGCUAACUUCCAUGGUGUAAAUACUUCGACCAUGGCCCAUUACAGUCUACCAAUGAGACAUCACUGAGUGUGGGCCGGGAAGACGCAUGCGCAGUAAGCACAUUAUGAUACCUAAUACUGGAAAUGGAAGUGGACAGACUGCAGAGAUAUUUAGGAAGUAGAAUCUUGGCAAUUUGUUAGAUGCCGGGGUGAAGGCAGAGUUUGGGAAACACUGGUUGGUGGUGUCUUCACUAUCACAGGGAGACAGGGAGUUGAAAGCAAGCAGGGAAAGGACACAUUCAGCUUUGGAUGGGUUCCAUUUGAGGUGCUUGUUACGAGGAAUAGCUGAAUAGGAAGCUAGACAAACGGAUUUGGAGUUCAGAGGAGCAAAGAUUAGAGUUGUAAAUUUGGGAUAUAUUGAUUUAAAUGUUGACAGCAGGUUAAAUCAUUCAGGGAAAAAUUGUGGAGAGGAAAGGUCUGAGACCUUGAAAACUCUGUUACUUGGUGGUCACCCAGAGCAGACAAGCACGCCAAGACUGGGGACAGACAGGAAAGUGGAGCACCCUCCCGCCACAGGAAGACGUGUUUUAAGGAGGAAGAAGGAAUUUUUGCUCAGAUCAGGUAACACAAGAAAGGAGAGUGUCCUUUGACUUUAGUGAUGUGGAUGUUACUUGCGACCACUAAAAAGGCAAUUUCACCCUGUGUGAAAACGAACACGUGAAUGGAGUUGAGAGACGACAAAACUGGGGGGAGGCGCCUCUUUCACCAACUUCAGCGGUGCAAGGGGAAGUGGAGUAGAGUCUUGGGAAUGAUGAAAUGCCGAGGAUACGGAUUCCAGCCCAGAGGGAGCAAUGGAUCGGAUUCUUCGAUACUGGAAAAACGGACGGUGGGGGGGCUCGGUGAUGUAGGGAGCAGGUAGUGCAGCUUUGCCGGUGGAAAGUGGAAGAAGUUUCUCUUUUUUCCUGAAGCAGGCGGCAAAGACCUCUGAGAGUGGGAGUGUAGGGGAUGUGCCGGUCACCCGGACGGGAGUGGAGGUUUGGGACCAAGUGGCCCGAGCCUGCGGUGAGUGGGCCCGCCCUGGGUGGCUCUGGCCGCAGCAGGGUCGAUGGGGCAGCACGGUCUCAGCAGGAAGAACACGGCUUCAGUCAGUUCUGUUCUGAGAAGCAGAAGGUGGAGACACGCACAUUUUAAAAAAACUCCUCCCGGACAGGAAGAAGUGAAGUUCUGGCUGUUCUGCGAGGACGCCGCAGUCCCAGCGCGGAGACCACCGCGCGGGCGAAGUGCGACACAGGCCAGAAAUAGGGUCCCGCACGUGGACCGCGGAGGAAGAAAGAGGGCUCACCCGGGCUCCCGCAGCUAGCCUCGCCCGACCAGGCUGGUGCCGCCUCUUCCCGCCCCGGCCCCGCCUCAGCUCCGCGCCCACAACCCGGCUUCCUCCUCUCCCGCCUGGUCGGUCU
rnacentral:lncRNA from 1 species